AUUGAACGCUGGCGGCAGGCCUAACACAUGCAAGUCGAGCGGAUGAAGGGAGCUUGCUCCUGGAUUCAGCGGCGGACGGGUGAGUAAUGCCUAGGAAUCUGCCUGGUAGUGGGGGAUAACGUCCGGAAACGGGCGCUAAUACCGCAUACGUCCUGAGGGAGAAAGUGGGGGAUCUUCGGACCUCACGCUAUCAGAUGAGCCUAGGUCGGAUUAGCUAGUUGGUGGGGUAAAGGCCUACCAAGGCGACGAUCCGUAACUGGUCUGAGAGGAUGAUCAGUCACACUGGAACUGAGACACGGUCCAGACGACUACGGGAGGCAGCAGUGGGGAAUAUUGGACAAUGGGCGAAAGCCUGAUCCAGCCAUGCCGCGUGUGUGAAGAAGGUCUUCGGAUUGUAAAGCACUUUAAGUUGGGAGGAAGGGCAGUAAGUUAAUACCUUGCUGUUUUGACGUUACCAACAGAAUAAGCACCGGCUAACUUCGUG
rnacentral:rRNA from 1 species